rnacentral:tRNA from 1 species
CAAAAAUAAGCACUUAAAGCAUUCAGUUUCGACCUAUACCCAUAAACCUUUAAGGUUUUUCAUUGU